GAUUUCUGGCCUCUAUUCGGCCUGGCCCGCCACGGUUACGUGUGUGAGUGCCGGUGCUGAGAGGCCAUCCGCCGUAUGGGCUCGCUGUCGGCUCUUCACUGAGUCGCGCGGUGGGUACUCCAAACUAUACGGCCGUUUACUUUGAACAAAUUAGAGUGUUUCAAGCAAGCAUGAGUUGCUAUGAAUACAUUAGCAUGGAAUAAUCCGAUAGGGCUUCGGUCUUAUUUUGUUGGUUUUAUCAUGAGGACUGGAGUAAUGAUUGAUAGGGAUAGUUGGGGGUGCUAGUAUUCAGAGGUCAGAGGUGAAAUUCUUGGAUUCUCUGAAGACUCCCUUAUGCGAAAGCAUU
rnacentral:rRNA from 1 species